GGGGGUGGAGCCCUGGCGCCGCAGGGGCUGGGCUGGGGCAGCGACGUUCCGGCCCUGCGGACACCCGCGGGCGCGGGGUAGUGGCUACCGCUGUCGUCCCUGUCUCGUUUUCCAUAGGGAGCUCCCACCCGGACUUGGGCAGGGGUGGGGCUCUGAGGGACCGGGUGGAGGGGCGAGUCGAUUGCCUUGGCGCCGGAAGAAGCUUCUAGUUAGGAUGUUUCCCGGAUAAGUACUGUCUGACAAUUCCGCAGCCUCACCAGAACUGAGGGGAGCCAUAUUGUCCCUCCUCUCUGUCUACCAGUUUGUAUCGUUGUCUCCAUCUGUGCCGGUGUAUUAUCAUUGGUGCUUUUUUUUUUUUUUUUCUUAGUUCCCUGCCUGCCGGGGUCCUAGAUUCCAUCCUUGGUUUACUUGUCCUCAUUGCCCCAGACCCGGGGAAUGCUCAGGAAGGCUGCGCGGUAUUGGAGGGACAGAAUGACCUUCCAGCCCUGAGUCCCUGAACAAGUUUCCAUCUCAUUCCACAAAGGAUUUAAGGAGUGUGACCGAACUCAAACACAGCUGCUUCUAUGGAACUGACUUCCGCAAUUGACAACUGUGUGAACUUGGGCAAGAGAGACAGCCAGUGACAGAGGGAACACAACAGUGGGAGAGGAAG